ACCUGUGUAAGCUACUAAAGAAAACUUUGUUAUCAUUUUGUCAAUGGUGGUCAAUGUUAUCUCAGUUAACUGUCACCUGUCAUGAUCAUGAGCAACGAAGUCAACAAACACCCAACGAAACUAAAAACUAAUAAGACUAAUAGUAAUAAGUAAUAAUAUCAAAUUAUAGAAAACAUAAUUUUAUUUCAGCAAUUUAAUUUUUUUAUCUACAAUUUUUAUUUAAUAAUGAACGACAAAAACCAAUGAACAACCAAAAACUUUGAACAAAAAUUAUUUAAGACCACUGUGGCAGCAGUUAUUAUAAAUUGGGAAACGUGCGUCCUAUGGGUAGAACAAUGAAAAAUUGGAUUUUGUACUAAAUGUGCUGUGAUAAUUUCUCUUAACUGACUGCAAGGAUUUUCCAUUUCAAUGUGUGGUAUUAGAAGAUGUAUAACUUCAGCCAGUUGUUUUAAAACAGCUACAAAUUCGAGAUUGGGAUAUGUCAGCCCCCCACGAUCUUGUAAAUUUAUUAAACGCAACAAGGGUCCAGGGAUGAUUUUAGUUAAUAAUGAAGACACGCAGUAAUCACACUUAAAUUUAUCAUUCAUUUUUUUUUUAUGAUAUAGCCCGCCAAAAAUGCCACUGAUGCUGAGUAGACAGUAUUAUCUGUUAACACCUGAACGUUGUGUAAAUUGCGAAGUUGUUGUAAAGUCGUAAAAGGUAGUACAAGAUCAGAGCAAUAUUUAUGAUGUUCUUGGGUAGAAGAAGAAGUAAAAGGAAGGAUAUGAUGUUUACUAACGAAAUCAACAUUUGAUGCGACAUUUGCAGAUUUUGAAGUUUUGAUAAUACCACAUUUAUGCAUUUGUUUUAAUGCAUACUCAGCUUGCUCGAGCAUCUGUGGCAUCAUUUGAUCCACCUCUCGAUCUAACAUGAGAAAACAUGGCUUCGAUACAAUCAGAACUGAAAGUUCGUGUCAGUACAUAGUAAAAUCCUACUUCUUCAAGUAAGAAUUUUACUGUAAGAUACGUACUGCGGGCGAUAAAUUUUAAAGAAUGCGCCGUUUCCUUAGAUAAACCAGGCAAACCAGCUCGUUGGGACUGCAUCUGAAUAUCAUCCAUGUAUGGAUGGAAUUUAUGCAUGAGCCAGUGUAAACGCUCAUCUGAUACAUUGACAUAUGGUGCCACAUAACUAUCCAAAGACCUUCCAGAUACAUUUUGGAAUAGUUCAUGGCCAUUUUCAUUUAAGAAUUUUAAAGCAGCAGUUACAGAUGGGUAAAAUAUUUGGAUGGCUCUACGGACAUUCAUUUUUUCUAAAUUAUUUGGAAAUAGAUGCUUUUUUGUCAGGAACUUCAUUGGUUUGACUGGUAAAUCUUUUUGUAAAUCAUACAAAUCUGUUAAAAAUGAUGCAGAGAUCACGCCAUCAGAAGACAUCAUAUCAUUUUGCAGGAAUAAAUUCCUCGCAUUUUUUAUGGCGUGACAGUAGUCAAAGCUAAGAAAUAAAGGCAAAGGAGACAAAUAGGGAUGACUGAUGACAUUUUGAAUGCUGCCAUUUCCAAGAAGCUUAAAUAAAUUUACGUUCAAGGCUAAAUUGUUAAACAAUAAAAUUCUUCAGCGGUAAAAGAAGAGUGGAAAAAAUAUCCCGCUGGUAUCGUGAAUCUGGUCGUUAACCCAUGCACAACAUAACACAUCAUUUGAUGAGCAAUUUCCACCUGUCCUCCAAUUGUGUUACUGCUGGAUGUACUUAAACCAUAAAGUCGAUCAUCUGAACGACUGUAGAUCAGUUUUUGUCUUAUAGCCAUGUCAUCAAUGACAAGGGAGCACACUCUUCAAUGGGAUUUUUGAAAUUGGAGACUUCUGUUGUUAAUCUCUGCUUAAUUAGUUCAUUAGAACUGUUAAUGUUUCCUAAAUA